GUAAGCCAGCUGCUGUGACAUGAACAGCCCCAUGGAGAGACCCACAGAGAAAGGAACUGAGGCCUCUUGCCAACAGCCCAGUGAGUGAGCUUAGAGGCAGAUGAUCCAAACCAAGUCAAUUCCGCAGAGACUGACAAUCCAGCCAAAGGUUUCACUGAAACCUCAUGAAUGACCUUGAGCCAGAAACAGCCAGCUAAGCCACUCUUGGAUUCCAGACCUUCAAAAACUAUGAGAGUCUACCACUUUCUCCGCAGUGUGCCUGGGCCCUCAGCUAUUGGGGAUGAGAAGGGAUGCGGAGUGGGAGGCAGUCCACAUGUCUGUUCCAACAGAGCUCAGAGGCUUUGCAACACAGAUUAGAAAGCGGGGGAGGGGGAGCCUCAAGAGUCCCUUGACAGUUACAUCAAAGGAAGAAAAGAAGGAGAGAAGAAAGGUGACUAUCAGGAGAAUUUUCCAGCCAGAAGAAAGACACAGAGGCACAGGCAUUUCAUGGCCUGAAAAAGGAAGAGCACAGAGACAAGUGCGGCUCCAGUUAAAGGACCAGCGGAGAUGAAAGAUGAGGACUAUUCACCACAGUCAAGAUGUGGAAUCAACCUAAGUGUUCAUGAUGAAUGGAUAAAGAUAGUGUGG